rnacentral:rRNA from 1 species
CCCAGACUCCUACGGGAGGCAGCAGUGGGGGAUAUUGCACAAUGGGGGGAACCCUGAUGCAGCGACGCCGCGUGGGUGAAGAAGCGCCUCGGCGCGUAAAGCCCUGUCAGCAGGGAAGAAAAUGACGGUACCUGAAGAAGAAGCCCCGGCUAACUACGUGCCAGCAGCCGCGGUAAUACGUAGGGGGCAAGCGUUAUCCGGAUUUACUGGGUGUAAAGGGGGCGCAGACGGCGAUGCAAGCCAGGAGUGAAAGCCCGGGGCCCAACCCCGGGACUGCUCUGGAAACUGCGUCGCUGGAGUACGGGAGGGGCAGGCGGAAUUCCUGGUGUAGCGGUGAAAUGCGUAGAUAUUAGGAGGAACACCAGUGGCGAAGGCGGCCUGCUGGACGAUGACUGACGUUGAGGCUCGAAAGCGUGGGGAGCAAACAGGAUUAGAUACCCUGGUA